UGGCUCAGGACGAACGCUGGCGGCGUGCUUAACACAUGCAAGUCGAGCGGUAAGGCCUUUCGGGGUACACGAGCGGCGAACGGGUGAGUAACACGUGGGUGAUCUGCCCUGCACUUCGGGAUAAGCCUGGGAAACUGGGUCUAAUACCGGAUAUGACCUCCUAUCGCAUGGUGGGUGGUGGAAAGAUUUAUCGGUGCAGGAUGGGCCCGCGGCCUAUCAGCUUGUUGGUGGGGUAAUGGCCUACCAAGGCGACGACGGGUAGCCGACCUGAGAGGGUGACCGGCCACACUGGGACUGAGACACGGCCCAGACUCCUACGGGAGGCAGCAGUGGGGAAUAUUGCACAAUGGGCGAAAGCCUGAUGCAGCGACGCCGCGUGAGGGAUGACGGCCUUCGGGUUGUAAACCUCUUUCAGCAGGGACGAAGCGCAAGUGACGGUACCUGCAGAAGAAGCACCGGCUAACUACGUGCCAGCAGCCGCGGUAAUACGUAGGGUGCAAGCGUUGUCCGGAAUUACUGGGCGUAAAGAGUUCGUAGGCGGUUUGUCGCGUCGUUUUGUGAAAACCAGCAGCUCAACUG
rnacentral:rRNA from 1 species